GUCCUUGUCGAUUAGUGGUUAAAUCAUCUCGUUGUGGAGCACUCGCCCCGCAUGGGAUGAGUGUAGCAACCCGAGAAGCCGGAAGUUCGAAUCCUCCCUGGGACA